rnacentral:rRNA from 1 species
GACGAACGCUGGCGGCGUGCUUAACACAUGCAAGUCGAACGGAAAGGCCCUGCUUUUGUGGGGUUCUCGAGUGGCGAACGGGUGAGUAACAGGUGAGCAACCUGCCCUUGAUUUUGGGAUAACUUCAGGAAACUGGGGUUAAUACCGUAUCGGAGCCCCUGCUGCAUGGUGGGGGUUGGAAAGUUUCGGCGGUCGGGGAUGGACUCGCGGCUUACGAGCUUGUUGGUGGGGGAGGUGCUUACCAAGGCUUUGACGGGUAGCCGGCCUGAGAGGGUGACCGGCGACAAUGGGACUAAGAGACGGACCAGACUCCUACGGGAGGCAGUGGUGGGGAAUAUUGCACAAUGGGCGGAAGCCUGAUGAGGCAGCGCCGCGUGCGGGAUGACGGCCUUCGGGUUGUAAACCGCUUUCGCCUGUGACGAAGCGUGAGUGACGGUAAUGGGUAAAGAAGCACCGGCUAACUACGUG